UGGGGAAUUUUGGACGAAUUGGGCGAAAGCCUGAUCCAGCAAUGCCGCGUGUGUGAAGAAGGCCUUCGGGUUGUAAAGCACUUUUGUCCGGAAAGAAAUCCUUGGCUCUAAUACAGUCGGGGGAUGACGGUACCGGAAGAAUAAGCACCGGCUAACUACGUGCCAGCAGCCGCGGUAAUACGUAGGGUGCAAGCGUUAAUCGGAAUUACUGGGCGUAAAGCGUGCGCAGGCGGUUUGCUAAGACCGAUGUGAAAUCCCCGGGCUCAACCUGGGAACUGCAUUGGUGACUGGCAGGCUAGAGUAUGGCAGAGGGGGGUAGAAUUCCACGUGUAGCAGUGAAAUGCGUAGAGAUGUGGAGGAAUACCGAUGGCGAAGGCAGCCCCCUGGGCCAAGUACUGACGCUCAUGCACG
rnacentral:rRNA from 1 species